AUGCAGUCGACGGUAACAGGCCCUUCGGGGUGCUGACGAGUGGCGGACGGGUGAGUAACGCGUAGGAAUUUGCCCAGUAGUGGGGGACAACUUGGGGAAACCCAAGCUAAUACCGCAUACGCCCUACGGGGGAAAGCGGGGGAUCUUCGGACCUCGUGCUAUUGGAUGAGCCUGCGUCGGAUUAGCUAGUUGGUAGGGUAAAGGCCUACCAAGGCGACGAUCCGUAGCUGGUUUGAGAGAACGAUCAGCCACACUGGGACUGAGACACGGCCCAGACUCCUACGGGAGGCAGCAGUGGGGAAUAUUGCACAAUGGGCGCAAGCCUGAUGCAGCAAUGCCGCGUGUGUGAAGAAGGCCUGCGGGUUGUAAAGCACUUUCAAUUGGGAAGAAAAGGUUAGGGUUAAUACCCCUGAUUCUUGACGUUACCUUUAGAAGAAGCACCGGCUAACUCCGUG
rnacentral:rRNA from 1 species